rnacentral:tRNA from 2 species
GGAGGGGUUCCCGAGCGGCCAAAGGGAACGGACUGUAAAUCCGUCGUCUUCGACUUCGAAGGUUCGAAUCCUUCCCCCUCCACCA